AGUGCGUGAGGCCACACUAUUUCUGGACAGAUGGUUCUGCAGUGCUACUGAACUUGCCUGGAGAGAGGAUGAAGAGCCACUGGGCAGGGAAAGAUAUCUGUAUCUGUGUAGACCUAUUUUUCAAAGGACCAAAGGAAGUUAUGAAGGUAAAAAUAAUUACAGCCCUUGAGUUAAGCAAGCCAAAUGCAGUCCAACCUUGCCAAAAUGGACCUGCCAGGUACUUUCCUUGGAGGAAGAAAACCAGCUUUCUAGAGAGGGAAAAAAUCCAACUCGUGUCAAACCUCAUUUAUUUUGGACUUCAGAAAGAUGAUACCACAUGGGAAAUUACUACUGAAGUCUGGAGAAGACAAGGAUUAGGAAUAAAAUUGCGAAGGAGUGUGCAGAUGAAAUUAGCUGGAGAAACAAAACUGAGGAACUUAGUAGACAAAAGAGAUAUCAUGAUGGAAGCAUUGGAUGACCUUGAGGAUAAUAGCAAGAAGAUGAAACUGGGUAGCAUUGAGUGAAAGGUUCCAUUCUUGAGAUUAACAUGACAAUUUCUGCUAUGUGCCAGAAUAACUAAAGCUAUACAUUGGAAAUGACAGAAGGGGGAAAGGACCAGAGUAUUAGUCAUCCUGUGAUCAGCAGGUACAACCAUCAGCCUCCUCUGGGAUGCAGGUGAGAAAACAAGCAAAUGCUAUCUUAGGAUGAGAAGGAUUUCUGAGGCAGACAGGGAAUUUUUAAUGUCAUUGUAUGAGGCUUUGUUGAGGCAUUAUCUGCAAUAUCAUCUUCAGCACCAGUCAGUCACGUGGCCAGCUGAGCUCCAACAGGAACGGAUGCUGAAGAAGGCUGUGAGGGUGUUGAGGAGAAUGGAGAGCCUGUCAUAUGUGAGGAGACUGCAAAAGUGCUCCACCUGUCUAACGAAACAAAGGCUGAGAAGGGAUAUGAAUAUUCUCUAUAAACAAGGAUAAACGUCAAGGAGGAAGAAGAGCUAUUUAAGCUAAACACAAUGCUGGCACAAGAGCAAAUGGGUAUAAACUGGCCAUGAAUAAGAACAGGCAGAAAAUCAGAGGAGAGUGGCUACCCACCAGAGGAAGUGGGCUCUAGAGCAGCCUAGGCAACUGGUAUAGAUGAGGAAUACAUUAACUAAGGUGAAAGGUGGCAUGAGGAGUGUCUAUGCCACAUAUUAGCAAUGGGUGUUCUCUCCCACAGCUUGAGACUGUGCUUGAGAGAUAGCUUGAGACUAUUUCUUUCUCUCUGCCCCCACAUUAUUGUGAUUAGGGCUUGAUUCCUCAUAUGAUACAGUGGAGGCAUUAAAAAGAGUAUUUAUCUGACAUGGUGCCCCAACAGGAAAGGAUUGUCUUCUGUACCUCUGUAGUUCUGAAGUCUUUUUCAUGUUCAAGAUGGAAAUAAAUCCUCAGUUUUUCUCUUUUA